UACGAAGGGGGCUAGCGUUGUUCGGAUUUACUGGGCGUAAAGCGCACGUAGGCGGAUUGGUCAGUUAGGGGUGAAAUCCCAGAGCUCAACUCUGGAACUGCCCUUAAUACUGCCAGUCUAGAGUCCGGAAGAGGUGAGUGGAACUCCUAGUGUAGAGGUGGAAUGCGCAGAUAUCAGGAGGAACACCGGUGGCGAAGGCGGGUCUCUGGGGCCGAUACUGACGCUGAGGAGCGAAAGCGUGGGGAGCGAACAGG
rnacentral:rRNA from 1 species